rnacentral:rRNA from 1 species
AGCGAACGCUGGCGGCAGGCCUAAUACAUGCAAGUCGAGCGCGCCCUUCGGGGGGAGCGGCGGACGGGUGAGUAACGCGUGGGAAUAUGCCCUUCUCUAAGGAAUAGCCUCUGGAAACGGAGAGUAAUACCUUAUACGCCCUUUGGGGGAAAGAUUUAUCGGAGAAGGAUUAGCCCGCGUUAGAUUAGGUAGUUGGUGGGGUAAUGGCCUACCAAGCCUACGAUCUAUAGCUGGUUUGAGAGGAUGAUCAGCCACACUGGGACUGAGACACGGCCCAGACUCCUACGGGAGGCAGCAGUGGGGAAUCUUAGACAAUGGGGGCAACCCUGAUCUAGCCAUGCCGCGUGUGUGAUGAAGGCCCUAGGGUCGUAAAGCUCUUUCGCCUGAGAUGAUAAUGACAGUAUCUGGUAAAGAAACCCCGGCUAACUCCGUGCCAGCAGCCGCGGUAAUACGGAGGGGGUUAGCGUUGUUCGGAAUUACUGGGCGUAAAGCGCACGUAGGCGGAUUAGUAAGUUAGAGGUGAAAUCCCAGGGCUCAACCCUGGAACUGCCUUUAAUACUGCUAGUCUUGAGUUCGAGAGAGGUAAGUGGAAUUCCGAGUGUAGAGGUGAAAUUCGUA